rnacentral:tRNA from 1 species
UGGCCGAGUGGUUAAGGCGUUGGACUUAAGUUCCAAUGGACAAGUGUCCGCGUGGGUUCGAACCCCAC